rnacentral:lncRNA from 1 species
GUGACUUGCUUGCGGGUUUCAGAAGGCCAGGCAAGGCUGAGAGGCUGGUCCUCCUCCUCAUCAGCGGUCUGUGGUAGAAAAAGAGGAGAAGAUUAGGACACCUAGAGAGACACUAGGGGUUCCUUUGCACAGAAGAAAGGCCACAUGAAGAUGGGGACACAGCAAGAAGGCAGCGGCAGCAAGCAAAGGAGAGAGGCCUCUGAGGAAACCAACCCUGCCAAACACCUGCUGCUUGGACUUCUAGCGUCCAGAACUGUGGACUCUUAUCAAUACCGAACAUUGAAAUCUGGAGGCUCGGCCAUCAGAACUCUUACACAGCACAGAAGACGAGUUUCACGGGUCACUCAGCAUCUACUGGAAGGAUGGAAAAAAUCAAGAAUUUGGCACCCUAAACACAACAUGAGAAGGUUUCACUCAGUAAUGGCCUCCUGAAAACAACUUAAUCUUCUUGGACAAGACUCUGAACUGAAAUCAAGGUUUCAAAAUAUUUUGUUGUGAGUGAUGAAGCUGUCUGGACCUAACUUUUCCGAGAGGCCAAGAAACCAUUCUGUAAUCCUGCAAAAUGGUUUCUGAAGAGUCUGGUGAAAUGCAACUGUUAUCCCUCACUUUGCAUUUUGCUCCAACGAUUCUGAGGUGCAACUUAUGGAUGAGACUGAUUUCUUUCCAUAUUGCUGUAGUAAAUUGGUUUUUGUUGUUUUCAUGGGCUUUGUAAAUCUUGCUGAUAAAAUCCAUAAGUGAUUUGCUAACAUAAAAGCUAACUGGAGAAACAUAAAAAAUAAUUCAAAAAUCAUUUCAUCUUAUCAACUGGAUUAAAAUUAAAAUUAUUAGAAAUACUAAUGAUAGUAUUUCUUUCCAGAGUGGUAAUGGAGUUUUUUUCCUUUUUAUUAAUAGCCCUUAAUGUAUCUUAUGGGAACAAUUAAUAGACAUUCUUCAAACUCCUUCAGAAAGCCCAAUGACAAGUGGCAUUUUUACCAGCGAGAUUCUCAGCGAAUAUAUAAUUCUUUGUCAAUAUUCAAAUUAAGGCAGAAACUCUAGAGUCUGAUCUGUAUCUAUUUCAUCUUUUAAAUGUGUUGAAAGGCCUCUGAGUGCAUCUUAAGCAGUUGGUAAAUAUUUUUCAGGUCAUCACAUACAGGAACUGGACCCCAGUUUUUCCUAAAAAAAUAUGUAUGUACAGAUGACAGAAAAAAAAUUGCCUUCAGAAAAUGGAACCCAUGUGCCAAGGCCUGGUCAGUAAAAAAAUCCCUAAUUUUUGCUUGUUUUAUAAUUUGUCUUAGGUUUUCUCUGACACUAGUGGAUUUCUUUUUUAAGGCAGUCAUAGUUCUAAUACUGUUCAGGCCUUGAAAAAUCCAAUCUAGGCUGGAUUAUGGUGGCUCACACUUGUAGUCCCAGCACUUUUGGAGCUCUG